GUCCCUGUAGCGCAUUGGAUAGCGCAGUGGACUUCUAAUUCAAAAUUCGUGGGUUCGAAUACCACCGGAGAUG